AGUCCCCUGCUGCUCCUCUGCUGGGCGCCACAACUUUCCCCAACCCGUGCCAACUUCCAGGGCACAGCCUCUGCGGAGAGUAGCAGGGUACAGUGAAUAACCCAGACACUAAAAAGCAAGGCAGCGGGGGUCCUACCAGCGCGGCUUUUGAUGACGUCGGUGAAUCCGUCCUCAGCGGCAUUUUCUGGGGUCUCCUGCAGACCCCUCAGCUGUGCCAUAACCAAACGCCACGUGCCUCAGCUUCCUCACGCCCCAAACUUUGGAAGGCAGGUCACAUGGAAUCUACACAUGGAAGGACAUAGGCAUUGCAUGCAGGUAUCCGGAAUCAUUGAUAUUGGUCUUAAAAUUUGGAAGUUUCCACUUUUGCUAAGACUGCCAUUUAUAAUGAGCCCUACGGAGAGGCCAUGUGGCAAGAAGCUGAGGCUGCCAGAGGGAACCUGAGGCCUGCCAGCAACCACAUACAUGAGUUUGGAAGUUAAUUCUUCAGCUUCCUUUGAGUCUUGAGGUAGCUACAGCCUGGCCAGAACUUGACUAAACUUCAUAAGGGACACUGAGCCAGAAACACCUAACUAAGCAAAUUCUGGUUUUAUGACCUUCAGAAAUUGUGUGAAAUAAUAAAUAUUUGUUGUUUUCAUUAUUCACCAUAGCAAAGUCAUGGAAUCAACCUAGGUGCCCAUCAACAGUGGAUUGGAUAAAAAAGGUGCACAUAUAACGCAUGGAAUACUAUGCAACCAUAAAAAAGAAUGAAACCACAUCCUUUGCAGCAACAUAGUUACAGCUAUAGAGCAUAAUCCUAAGCAAAUUAACACAGGAACAGAAAAGCAAAUAUUGCCUGUUCUCACUUAUAAGUGGGAGCUAAACAUUGGGUAUACAUGGACAUAAAGAUGGAAACAAUAGAUGAUGAGGACUCCGAAAUGGGGAAAGAACUGGAGUAACGGUUGAAAACCUACCUGUUGGGUACUAUGUUCACUAUUUGGGUAACAGAUUCAGUAGAAGCCCAAACCCUAGCAUUAUGCAAUGCACCCAUGUAACAAACCUGCACAUGUACCCACUGAAUCUAAAAUAAACUGUAUUUGUUGUUGUAAGAUGCUAAA
ensembl:lncRNA novel transcript